CGACGGCGGUGUUUGGCACCUCGAUGUCGGCUCAUCACAUCCUGGGGCUGAAGUAGGUCCCAAGGGUAUGGCUGUUCGCCAUUUAAAGUGGUACGCGAGCUGGGUUUAGAACGUCGUGAGACAGUUCGGUCCCUAUCUGCCGUGGGCGCUGGAGAACUGAGGGGGGCUGCUCCUAGUACGAGAGGACCGGAGUGGACGCAUCACUGGUGUUCGGGUUGUCAUGCCAAUGGCACUGCCCGGUAGCUAAAUGCGGAAGAGAUAAGUGCUGAAAGCAUCUAAGCACGAAACUUGCCCCGAGAUGAGUUCUCCCUGACUCCCUGAGAGUCCUGAAGGAACGUUGAAGACGACGACGUUGAUAGGCCGGGUGUGUAAGCGCAGCGAUGCGUUGAGCUAACCGGUACUAAUGAACCGUGAGGCUUAACCUUACAACGCCGAAGCUGUU
rnacentral:rRNA from 1 species